UGAAGUUGUGUCCUAAUUUUACACAUUUCUUCCCCUUCAGGUGGGAAAAUAUCUCUGCUAUAAAGAAGAAUAUGAUGUUUAUUGUUCUAGCUUAAAAAACAAUUUAAACUUAUACAUAGGAGUUUUGGAAGGAAAUAAUAUUUAACUUUUUUUUCAAUCCUUUUACUUUUACUUACUUAUGUUAAAGAAACUAGAAAGAUAUGAUGAAUUCCCACCACCCUCGUUGAGUGUGGAACUAGUCUCUGCCUAAGUGUUGGAUUAGCCUGACCUCAAAGUGCUUCUGGUGGAUUUCAAAUCCCUGCACUGCAGGGAAUAUACUUGGGACUGAGUCUGAUCUCUUAACUUGGGGAUAUAAAACCAGGUGGAUAUAUAGAAGAGUUAUGGUCAAGAACUGAAUUUGGCGUUUUAUUUCCCAUAAAGGACCUUCUAUAUUAAAUUGUACGCUAGUUGAUAUAAAGGAAUUAAAUUUUGUUUUCUGUUGAAAGUGAGAUCAUUUGAGUAAUAAGAUUUAGAAUUGUUCAUGAA